GAUGAAGAACGCAGCGAAAUGCGAUACGUAAUGUGAAUUGCAGAAUUCAGUGAAUCAUCGAAUCUUUGAACGCAUAUUGCGCUCUCUGGUAUUCCGGAGAGCAUGCUUGUUUGAGUAUCAGUAAACACCUCAACUCCCUUUUAUUUUUUGAAAUUGGAGCUGGACUUGAGUGAUCCCAACGCUUUCUUCCAAGAAAGUGGCGGGUUGCUUGAAAUGCAGGUGCAGCUGAACUUUUCUCUGAGCUAUAAGCAUAUCUAUUUAGUCUGCCUAAAAAACAGAUUAUUACCUUUGCUGCAGCUAACAUAAAGGAGACUAGUUCUUGUGCUGACUGAUGCAGGAUUCACAGAGACAGCUUCGGCUGACUUUGUAAACUCGAUCUCAAAUCAAGUAAGACUACCCGCUGAACUUAAGCAUAUCAAUAAGCGGAGGA
rnacentral:misc_RNA from 1 species